ensembl:lncRNA
GAACUGCUGAGUCAUGGUCUGAACCACUAAUUGAGUGCCUGGAGACAAGACCAGGUCAGCCCUGGAAGCGCAGGUGAAGGUAGUUCACAUCUUAGACCUCAUUUAAGGGCUGACUGACACUGAGAAAGGGUCUUUUGCUGGAGAUCCCUCUUCUGUGGAGUUUUUUCUGCAAGCCUAGAUCUUCAGAAAUGGUAUUGUGUUACUGUUGAUGUACCUCAAUGAAACGGAGAGAAAAUUCAAGAAAUAUGAAUUGAUUGUAUGAAGCAACAUAUGCAAAUACUGAAAAUAAAAGCUGCCAACAUUGUGACAGGAAUGGCAUUAGCAGAUGAGUCAGGAGUGUGAUGAAGCCAUAUGGCCUUGUGAUUAUGUUGAAACUAAGGAUAGCUACUCAAGGGAUUACAUGCUCUUCUACUUCUGAGAAUGAAGAAUGUGCACUGUGAGCACUUUAGUGUCCUGGUCAGCUACAUCACCCUUUGCAGCAUCUGUGAAAAUCAAGGAAAGGUUCAAUACUUUCCUCAUGAGGAUAAAUCAUGUAAGAACCAGAAAGAGCACAGGUAAACAGGAUUGAACAGAGACUUUUCUCUGUUUCCAUACCAAUUUCCUAGCACUGAUGAUAUAUUAAUAUAAGAUAAUAUUUCUUUAUCCACAGCAGGUUGAUUGAAUGUGAAAAGUGCAUAUUGGUAAGCAUUGAGAAUAGAAGAUAAAUGCAAUUGAGUUAUAACAUAGGAACAGUCUCACUAGAGAACACAGUAAGAUUAAAUGCUAGAGGAUGUCCAAAAACUAAUCAUGUCCUCUUCCACAGUAGAAAUGCCUAUAACACCAUGCUGAGAUGGUAGUAGCUCAAGUGAGUGCCAUCUGACAACAGUUUAAAAGGUAUUUCUUUGGCUUUCAUCUGACUAAACUUAUCUCAUGAAAAGUCUGUGUUCUGACAAGAACUCAGCAUUGUUAAGAAGGAACCUGGAGAAAAAUCAGAUCACAGAAUCAUAGAAUCAUCGUCUAGUUUAACUGUCCACCUACCACCAAUAUUUCUCCAUUAAACCAUGUCCCUUCGUACAACAUCUAAACAUUUCCUGAACACCUCCAGGGCUGGUGACUCAACCACCUCCCUGGGGAGCCCCUUCCAGUGCCUGACCACUCUUUUGGAGAAUAAUAUUUUCCUAAUAUCCAGCCUGAACCUCCCCGGCAAAACUUGAGGCCAUUCCCUCUAGCACCAUUACUAGUUAUGCUGGAGAAAAGGUUGGCCCCCACCUCACCACAACUUCCUUUCAGGUAGCUGUAGAGCUAUAAAAUCUUCCCUGAACCUCCUCUUCUCCAGACUAAACAAUACACGUUCCCUUAGCCAUUCCUUGUAAGAUUUGUGCUCUAGCCCCCCCCAUGGCCUUUGUUGCCCUUCUCUGGACAAGUUCCAGGGCCUCACUGUCUUUCUGUUAGUGAGGGGUACAAAACUGAACACAGUACUCAAGGUGCUGCUUCACUAGAGCUGAGUACAGACGAACAAUCGCUUUCCUACUCCUACUGGCAACGCUAUUUCUGAUACAAGACAGGAUGCCAUUGACCUCACUGUCCACCCGGGCUCAUGUUCAGCCAAGUGUUGACCAACGCCUCCAGGUAAUUUCUUCCACAUAUUCUUCCAGCUAUCCCAUAUAGACUACUGUCAAGAAUUUCUGACACAUGUUUUUCUGUAUUUAUUUUGCUUUUUUGUUAGUUUGACCUGCUGCCAUGUUGGCCUGCCAUUUUCUAUAGUGAAUACACAUUGAUUUGGCCUGUUACCAUAUAAAACUGAGCACAUCAGAAGAUGUUUUCUUUAGCCUCUAAUUUGUCUCAGUUGCAGAAAUGCAAGUGCUAGACCUAUAGUGGUAAUCCUCCUCCCACAUCACAGUCAGAUUUGAACCAGAAUGAUGAGUCUUUCCUCCCUGAAUCUGAGUCAUUGCCAUAUAGUCUCCCCACCUACAGAAUGAAGUGAAAAACUGUUUGGGUGAGGUCUAGACUUCUAUCAUAAUAUACGGAGUUUUCAAGUCCACAAUUUUCAAUUCUCUUUUGUAUCUGCAACUCAUCUUAGGUUUCAGCACCCUACUUAGGGAAGGCAGAAAUACAAGGCAGUAGGUUUACUGAGUCAGUGGUUUCCAUUAGUACUGUAUGCUUUGCUAUUUACUUGUGACGGUGGAGUAUGAAUGGGAAUUUGAACUAUUCCUUGAUUUCUCCAUCUUCUUGGUAAGCUGAAGGAAAGAACUAUGGAGAAGUUGUAGUAGUUAGAAUGAGUGACUGAAAUGCAGAACACUGAAAAAGGAAAUGUAAACACAAGUUUUGUGGUAUAAAAGCUACCUGUUUUCUGGUUUGUGUGCACUACAAUGCAUAGCACAGGCAUGGUUAGUUUAUUAGGAUCAAAUGAGGUCUAAAAUAUAUAUGGCUGAAGAAAUUUGUGCAUUCAGGGGAACAAAUGGAACUUUAGCUUUUAAUUUAAAUUAUAUUCAGAUUUGGCUGACUUUUGUAUGUUUAAGUUUUGAUUUUUCCUUUCUUUGGACAAAAUGUCUGUGUUGCUUUUUUUUAAGCCUGAUGAAUAUGGACAUCUUAUUCUCUUUUCUGCUUCAUAAGGAAUAAAGGAAAAACCCCAGAAGAAUCUUUUAUCCUUCGUUCCCUUACGGUACUGAGGAAAUAAUACUCUCCAAAUAUAAAUUUCCACUCCACCUUUCACUUUCAGGAUAUUUGGAAAUCCUGCUUUGAUGGCAAUUUAGUAAGCCCAAGCAUAGACUUUCAGUAGGAAGUCUUUGCUAAAAUCAUCUUAUCUCAUUGUCUGACACCAACAUGAGAUUCUUGAACAAAUAACUUAUUACAGAAUAAUAAUUAAAAAAAAAAAAAAAAAAACACAACCAAAGUGAUUCCAUUUGAUUCAACUCUAAGUGCCAAAUCUUUUUCUCCCAUGUUAGGAUCCUAAUCAACGGAAGUACUUAUCUACACUGAAAGCCAAGAGGUUGUCACAUGAAUGCAUUCACAUUCAUUUAUGUAUCAAGUGUAUUACUGUAUAAAAUUACCAGUCAGCACAGACUAGAGCUAUAAAGAAAAUCAGUGCUCAGAAGCAACCUGGGAAUUCAAGGUCCUCUCCUCCACAGCUUGAGCAGGGAGACCAGAUGUUUUCAGCCUCUGAUGUGAGUCAGGGGAAACUCAGCAGCCCACCCUUUCAACAAGGUGAGGUCUCUGCAGCGGGGCCUUGAGAGUGAAAAGGAAGAAUAUGGAAUAAUCUGCUGUGGAAAAAUGAGUGGGAGAAACUGCUUAAUACAAGGACAAGUAGGCCAGUGUUGUUGGAAGUCUUUCAGCGUGAGCCACUUGGCUGUGCCUGUUAAUGAAUAAAUAAAUUGCUACUUUUCUUUUUAAAGGAUGACUAACCAAACUGAGUAUCUGAAAACUACUUUAAAUUUAAACUUUAAUGAGUACUUUAAAAAUGUAUUUUUAUGAUACUAAAACUAAUAUAUACAUUUUUUAAGGAAAAAAAAAAAAGAUGAUGUUCUUUAUAUUUAUGCUGCCACUCAUGCUUUGACUCUGAUCACUUAUCUGGAUAAUUAAGCAGUAUCACUGAGGAACUGGAUACCAGAAAUCUGAUAUUAAUCCGUCCCUCUUAAUAGUAACGCAAAAGCCACUGGGGUGGAAAGCAGCCUAGUCUUCUUAAUCCCCUUUUACCAACAUUUCAGCAUCAGCAUAUCUCAUUUAUUUUAAAAAGUGGUUCAAGACACACUAUCAGUGGCUUAAGUCUAAUUUAGGCUUUAAAUCAAAAUAUAUUAAGAAAUUCAAAAAUAGUCAAGAUUACCAAGAUUUCUUGAGGGAAUGAUUCACAACCAGCUCAUGUCCCUUUGACAGGAACAGGGGACGACUGAAUGAUUUUUGCAUGUCUGCAUCGCUUGAAGGUACAACACUUUCUGUUGAAUUAAAAGGAAAAGGCAGGAUUACAGUGGAGACCUUGAGAUCCCACUGCCAUACUUAUCAGGUAUAUGUUGAUGAUACCUGAGCAACUUCUACAGACAAUUUCACCUGCAGGACCCCAAAUCAGACACAAGCUGGUUUUAUUAUCUAAUUUUCAGUGUUUAUGGAAGAUGCAACUUAAUUUAAAAGGUCUGAAUGCCUCUUUUCUUUCCCUGUCGUUCAUGAGAACAAUCAAACAGAUCCUCACAGAUUUCAAGAACCAGAACCCAGCGUGAACACCAGAAUGAUAAGGGGAAACAUUCAGAUGCUUUCAAUGGCAAAAGAAAAUUCAUAAACUGCUUAUAAUGAAGAAGUGAUUGUUGAAAAUUGAGUUUUCUGUUCUUGUACUUUACUGGCAUUCAGCUCUUCAAAGCGAUAGCAAAUAUUCUAUUGGUUAACAUUUAACCCAAACUAAUAGGUCCAAUCUCACAUUCUCAAAUAAAUCAUAAUGUCUUUUCAAUUAGUUUGCACUUUCACUGGCUGCUGUCCUGAAUAAUUAGGAAAACAAUUCACAUUUCACUAGGAGAUGAUAUGAAGUGUUAUUCCUGUGAUAAUUAGCGAGCUGCAGUUCAGCUUCCCUGGCUCCCACCAGGUCAUCAGGGCACAAAAGAGGACACCAUGAGAGCAUUAAUGAGCUCUCAUUGAAGAUGUUAAAAAGCUUGUAUUGAUCUGUUUGUCCAAGAAGGAGAUAUUUAAGCCUUUCUGCUGAGGGCAGGAGAGACAGAGAUUCAUAUCACAAAGCCUUUUAUCCAACCCCUUCUGUUUCUGGCUUCAAUAUUGCCCAGUCUCAGCAUGUCUGGUUCUAGAGGUCAUACUUUUAAACUUUCACAACAUUUUUUUUCUUUUCCCCUUUCUUCUUUUUGUUUAAAAAAAAAAAAAAAAAAAAAAAAGGAAAGAAAGAAAAAAGGGUAAUAUACAGUGUACACUUAACCUUUACUACAGGGAUCCCUUUACACAGCUCGCUGUUUCUGAGAACAGGCUUCAGUGCAGUAAGAUUUCCGUUCUCACUCUAUCCCGCUCACAUUCAUCUCAAUUAAAUUCAGAGAGUCUAGACAAUACAAGGACCAACUCAGUGCAAAUUUUUGCUCAUAGUUUGGAAGCACAUCCAACAAAAUCACUUUUUUUGGAUGUUCAAUCAGACUUUUCUCUCUAUUGUCACCGCCUUUUUUGUGAACUCCUGGACUUACUAUUUCUAGCUGGAAGUAGAAGUGAAAGAAGUAAGUGUAAGGCUGCAAAAUCACCAUUUCUUGUGGUAUUUUCACAUGAGGUUUCUCACUGCAGGAAAGGGAGGCAAAUCCUGUCCUGCCUUCAACACUCUGCAUUGUUAUGAUAUAUUGCAGCAGUAAACUUGUUCUGGGUACACUUACCUACUCACCAAUUUUGUCUACUCUCUUUUAAGUGCCACAAUGAGCUGUCAGUGAGGAUUCCCAGCCUGCCUGUGAUAGAGUUUGGGAUGAAUUUUCAUAUAACUGUAAAAGCUGUGGGUUUUUUGUUUUGUUUUGUUUUUGUUGUUGCUUUUUAAUUAUUAUCAUCCUUCUUACUUGAACUAGCUAUGGUCUCACUCAGCAAGAUCGUAUCUCUCUUUUCAUAGUAUCUCAUUCACAUUCAACUCUGUAGGAGCAAUUCAGCGGGUCCAUUUGUGUGUAUCCAUUGUAAAUGGCCAAUGAAGUAAUACUCUGGGACCUCUAGAUGAAUGCAGAAUCCUCAGUACACUUCUUUGUUUUUUCAUGGUCUGCCUCACCUGACACAGCAGGCUGGUGGAUGAACCUCACAACCAACAUUGGGAAUUCUGCAGCCUGCUUCUACUUACCUUGUAUCAACUCAAGAUUAUCAGUUUCAGAUGAAAAUAAACAUGAAUGAAUGCACACACAAAUUAUUCUUGCUGUGAUGUGAUGCAGUAAUCUCCAGUUUGGGAACUGAGCUGGCAAAAGAGGUCAUAUGCAUCCUUCCACUUGUGACCAUUUAAAAAAGAUGUGAGGGAACGAUUCAUGAACAAGUAAAAUUGGACAUGGGUAGCAAAUAGUGACCCUCGGUGAGUGACAACUGAGGUUAUGUGGAUGAAUACUAAACAUGAAAAGCCUGAAUUAUUCAUGGGAGGUUCAAGGUAAAAGGGU